UGCAACCCCUAGCCUAGCUGCUUGCUUCUUUUCCCUCCCUGCCGCCGCCACACAGAGCACACCGUCUUCCGCACGCGUCAAGCGUGAGCUCGUCCUCGAAGCCUCACGCGAGCACCAACAAGCUUCCCGCUUCAUCUCCGCGCCGUCGCCAUGAUCUCCGGGACGUCGCCGACGUCCGCGUCGUUGUCUCCGACCCAUCGUCCUUGACCAAGCUUCGAUGUCUUUGCCGUUUAAUCAACGCAACUUCCUUCACACUGGUCAGCAACGACCGACAGCAUCCAGGCCGCGCCACGGGCCACGGCCAAGCGCGCAACCGCCGUCGUCUACCUCGGCCCCGUCUUCUUCCUCGACGCCGGUAGCCGCCCCGCUCUUCUCCACCUCGUUGAGCACCACCAGGCAUUUGCUUCUUCUCGGAUAGGAUCACGAAGUGUUGAUGUGAGAUACGACGAGUUCUCCGACAAGUUCUUCUGCAGCUUUUCACAGGCGAGCCCACCCCUUCACCUAUUUUACAUUUACAUGCUCUUUUGAUCUAUUGCUAUCCCUAUGUUGCGAUUCUGUUGUGUCACGUGUCCUAUUCCACCUGGUACCCUAUAUGAUCUGAGAUACACCUCCUUGCCCUACCUGAUGUUUGUUGUUUGCCAGCUUUGCGAGUCGUAGGCGAGUUUAGGGUCUUGUUGAUAUCUCGAGAUGUUCGGGAUAUCUUGUUGGGAGGUUAUCACAUGAUAUAUCAAUUGUUGGAGAUACACAUGCUUUACUUAUUUGUUAAUAACUAAAAUUGUAAGCAGAGGCAUCUGUGAGCCCCUUUGUGAAAGCAUCGGAACUUUGACUUGCUAAUGUCCCCUAGGACCCGAGUUCUUGUUAUCUGUUCCGAGAUUGAGCGCUCUACCCGUACGUGGGGGAAUGGGACCCCCAUCACCCACUACCUUUCCUCGAGUCUGUUUAUUGGGAGCCACAACCUUGGUUUUAUUUGCCCAUAUGCACGAUGCACGAUUUACUUCUUGUUGCCUUCGGGUGUUUAUUUCUGUACUGUACUCAUAUUGCGGAUAGACUUAUCUUGUGCUUGGUCGUAAGUGCCCGCCUAGACUAUGUCGCAAACCUCUGGGUCCGUAUCGGAGUACGGCCGAACUUCGUCACGGGUAGCUUAGUGGGGUGGCUCCCCUUAAACUUUCUCUUGCAUUGGGAACGGUCUUGUUGUGAGACUCCACCUGUAGUAAGUGGGUUCGAGCAUGCGUAUGGUUACAGUUGGGCAACCCCUGCAGGGUGUACAUCUUAUCGAUAAGCCGUGUCCGCGGUUAUGGACGACUUGGAAUUGUAUAGCUCGAUCAUAGAACAACUUACACCUUAUUUCCUGUUGUUAAUAAUUUGCUAAUAAAACUCUUUCAAAAAGUGUGUGUGCUUUUGCCAGUACCUCUUCGCGAAGGGGGAUCGCAUCGGCUGUGUUAUGUUUGCAGAGUAUAGAACUGUUACCUUGUGCGCUCUCUUAUCUUCUCUGAGUAGACGGAUGUUGUAGCGUGUCUCUAUUGGAUAGUAGCUUUGCUGCCGCUAAACUCCACAUAUAGCCGGGUGAAGUUUAUACCGCCCACCGACGAGCAUAGCCGGUCUUGUCUCGCAAGUACGUGUCAAUGGUACUUACCCUCGCCUUCCUUUCUUUUUGUCUCCUCCCCCUUUUGUCGGCAACCGAUGGCCCGACUUUGACAGGUACGAGAUGACGACGUUAGCAAGGUUACCCUUCCGGCUUGGCCUGGGCAGGGUUAUGGACGCCACUGGUUAUCUUCAGGACUCUUAGUCCAAUUUGUAUCUUGUCCGUACUCGGACGUAUUCGAUCUUCUGUAUGAUUUGGAUCUUGUAUGUAUCUAUUUGUAUCUUGACUCAUUGGAGUCGUUGUUGUAAUAUAUGUUUCUUGUGGGCUCUAUUGUAAUCCUGUUGUAAUGUUA